rnacentral:rRNA from 1 species
AUGCACGACACAGGCCUCUCCGCCCGCACUGCCGGUGCCUCCUCGUCGUCACCGGCCACCAACGCCGGCGACGACGUCGACGAGUCCAAGACCCGGAAGGCGCAGCCCGCCUUCGUCGCCGCGGCCUACGCCCGGCUCCACUCCCCUUACUAUGCGGCCGCCUCCCUUCUCCUCCUCGCCCUCGCCGCCGCUGCCUUCCUCGCCGGCCGAGCUUUCCCCCGGACCGACUGCCCGCCGCUGCGCCUCGACGCGCGCUUCCUCUCCCUCCCUGACGCCGCCGCGGCCUCCGACUUCGGAUCCCUCGGCGUCCCCUCGUGCAGAUCCAAAACUGGGAGGACAGUGGAGUGGACUUCGAAAGAUUUACUUAAUGGUCUGGAAGAAUUUGUGCCAAUCUAUCAGACACGCCCUAUCAAGAAUAACAUGCAUGGAAUGAGAUUUGACCACAGUUUUGGUCUUUGGUUUAUGGCUCGAUGGCUUAAGCCAAACCUGAUGAUUGAGAGUGGCGCAUUCAAGGGGCACUCAACUUGGGUUUUGCGUCAGGCCAUGCCAAACACUAGGAUUAUAUCUCUCACACCCAGACACCCUGAGAAAUAUCUUAAGAAGGGACCUGCGUAUGUUGAUGGAAACUGCACUUAUCUGGCUGGGAAGGAUUUUAUUGACUUUGGAAGUGUCGAUUGGGAAAAACUGUUGAGGAAGCAUGGCAUUUCUGAUCCCAGCAAGGUGCUUGUUUUCUUUGAUGACCACCAAAGUGAGCUGAAGAGGUUAAAGCAGGCACACAAAGCUGGAUUCCGGCAUCUCAUAUUUGAGGACAACUAUGACACUGGUACAGGCGACCAUUAUUCCUUGAGACAGAUAUGUGAUCAAUCACACAUCAGAGGUGGUGGACAUAGCUGCUUCUGGGAUAGUGACGAAGCAAGAUUAAGGUCGGAACGAAUGAAGUUUUGGGGGAAGGCUGUGGACAUAGAUGAACUAUGUGGAAAGGAUGAUGCAUGGUGGGGUGUCAGAGGUUACAUGCGUGACAAUUUCAACCAUAGCAAUGAGGCCAUCUCACACAAAGAGCAUUUCCAGAACAGCAGGCUUGUUGAAUCUGUGUUGGAUCUGUAUUGGGAACUACCUCCUGUUGCUGGGCCGUCCUUAACUCAUCAGACAAGAUAUGACCCAGCCCGCGCUUCUGAUCCUAUCAUUGAAGAUGGACGCCAUGGCUUGUUUCAAAGAAUUGGCCUGAGUAGAUUGGACGCUUCAGUGUUCAACGGUUACACUCAGAUGGCAUACGUUCAGAUAUCAGGCACAAUGCUCAGAAGAGAGGAUGAUUGA